rnacentral:rRNA from 1 species
UACGGAGGGUGCAAACGUUGCUCGGAAUCAUUGGGCGUAAAGCGCACGUAGGCGGCCUGAUAAGUCGGGUGUGAAAGCCCUGGGCUCAACCCAGGAAGUGCACACGAAACUGUCAGGCUUGAAUAUGGAAGAGGGUCGCGGAAUUCCCGGUGUAGAGGUGAAAUUCGUAGAUAUUCGGAAGAACACCAGUGGCGAAGGCGCCUGACGGGACAAGUAUUGAGGCUGAGGUGCGAAAGCGUGGGAGCAAACAGG